rnacentral:rRNA from 1 species
AGCGAACGCUGGCGGCAGGCUUAACACAUGCAAGUCGAGCGCCCCGCCAGGGGAGCGGCGGACGGGUGAGUAACACGUGGGAACGUACCCUUUGGUUCGGCACAACCCAGGGAUACUUGGGCUAAUACCGGAUAAGUCCGCGAGGAGAAAGGUGUAUCGCCGAAGGAUCGGCGCGCGUCGGAUUAGCUAGUUGGUGUGGUAACGGCGCAUCAAGGCGACGAUCAGUAGCUGGUCUGAGAGGAUGAUCAGCCACACUGGGACUGAGACGCGGCCCAGACUCCUACGGGAGGGGGGAGUGGGGAAUACAGGACAAUGGGGGCAGCCAUGAUCCCGCCAUGCCGGGUAAGUGAUGAAGGCGGUAGAGUAGUGAAGCUCUUUCGGAGGGGGAGAUAAUGACGGUACCCACAGAAGAAGCACCGGCUAACUUCGUG